CCUGGUGUGAUGGCAGCCUGUAAUCUCAGCUUCUGAGGAGGCUAAGGCUGGUGGAAUUCCUGAGCCUGGAAGUUCUGAGCUGCAGUGGGGCUAAGCCAAUCCACCGUCCACACUGAGUCUGGCACCGGUAUGGUGAGUUCUUGGGAAGACAGGAACACCAGGAUGCCUCAGGAGGGGCAAACUAGCUCAAGUCAGAUGCAAAAGGGGCCAAAGCAGCUGUGUCAGUUAGUAGUGAGAUUUGGCAGGUAUGUAGCCCCUGCUUCCAGCCUAGGCUAAAUUGUGAGACCACUAGCCCC
rnacentral:SRP_RNA from 1 species